GGUGACUGGAUUUCAAGGUCAAGCAUCCUAAAAGAGACUCGGCAGAAGCCUCCAUUGUUUAGUCUUGUUCCCAGACUUACCUGAAUAUAUAACCAGUGAAGAUCUCUCAUUUAAUAAAGCUUCCCUCCCCCACAAUUCUGAUUCUCGACAAUUGAGAUUUAAGAGGCACAAAUGGAAGCGCACAAAUCACAAAACUUACCCAGAUUCCUGAAUUCAAACUUGGGUCCAUAACUCAGGCCUUAAAGAUAUUUUAUAGUCUCUCAACUUUUAUCUGUUUA
rnacentral:lncRNA from 1 species